GCCCGGAUGGUGGAAUUGGUAGACACGUACGUUUGAGGGGCGUAUGGGGUGACCCAUGGGGGUUCGAAUCCCCCUCCGGGCACCA
rnacentral:tRNA from 1 species